UACGAAGGUGGCAAGCGUUGUUCGGAUUUACUGGGCGUACAGGGAGCGUAGGCGGAUCGGUAAGCCCUCUGUGAAAUCUCCAAGCUUAACCUGGGACAGGCGGAGGGGACUGCUGGGCUAGAGGAUGAGAGAGGAGAGCGGAAUUCCCGGUGUAGCGGUGAAAUGCGUAGAGAUCGGGAGGAAGGCCGGUGGCGAAGGCGGCGCGCUGGAACAUUUCUGACGCUGAGGCUCGAAAGCGUGGGGAGCAAACAGG
rnacentral:rRNA from 1 species